rnacentral:rRNA from 2 species
ACGGAAGGCAGCAGUGGGGAAUAUUGCACAAUGGAGGAAACUCUGAUGCAGCGACGCCGCGUGAAGGAUGAAGUAUUUCGGUAUGUAAACUUCUAUCAGCAGGGAAGAAAAUGACGGUACCUGACUAAGAAGCCCCGGCUAACUACGUGCCAGCAGCCGCGGUAAUACGUAGGGGGCAAGCGUUAUCCGGAUUUACUGGGUGUAAAGGGAGCGUAGACGGCACGGCAAGCCAGAUGUGAAAGCCCGGGGCUCAACCCCGGGACUGCAUUUGGAACUGCUGAGCUAGAGUGUCGGAGAGGCAAGUGGAAUUCCUAGUGUAGCGGUGAAAUGCGUAGAUAUUAGGAGGAACACCAGUGGCGAAGGCGGCUUGCUGGACGAUGACUGACGUUGAGGCUCGAAAGCGUGGGGAGCAAACAGGAUUAGAUACCCUGGUA